rnacentral:pre_miRNA from 1 species
AGUGGGAUUUCUGAGUGAUAUGGUAACUAAAUGUUUAAACUUUUGAGGAACUGCCAGACUAUUUUCCAAAGUGGCAGUACCAUUUUACAGUCCCACUAGCAGU